AAACAUUCAGCAAACCUACAGAGAAUCCUUCUGCUUCCACUCCAAGAGUCAGGCUGCUGAGGGCUCCAGACUAAACCUUCCCACAGCUUUCCUCCACGUUUGCUCCUUUGUAGACCCAGUUUCACAAAGGAUCUCCCAUUGCCAGGGAAUUCUGCUGCUUCCGCUCAGGAUGGAGGUGUCCACAGCAGCACAACAGCCAUGCAGCAACAUCUGGGCUGCCCUCAACAUCUGGGCUGGCAAAGCAGGGGAGACUCAGAAAACACACAGCUCUCCAAACACAGCCAAAUGCUUUAACUCCAGCACACCAAAGGAUGAGGAGGUUUGGAAGCCGCUACAGGAACUUGGAGCAGGAAAAAUGAGAUGCACAAUUCCACAAGGAUUAUCCCCAGUGCUUCUUUCUGCACAGGGUUUCCUUUCACUCAGCACCCUCAGAUGGAUCAAAACAGGAUCAGAAAAUAAAGGAUCAUAUGAGAGAGGAGGGGGGAUGGAUUGGGUCAAAGGAUGAGCUGCACUGAAGGAAGAGUUCCCAGCAGCGGGGUGAAUAAAAGGAUUUAAGCAAGUCCCA
rnacentral:lncRNA from 1 species